rnacentral:rRNA from 1 species
UUUUUGACGUAUGGCCUGCCCACUGACAUUGAUAGCUGAAGGGCCGCGGUAUUUUGACCGUGCAAAGGUAGCAUAAUCAUUAGUUCUUUAAUUGUGAUCUGGUAUGAAUGGCUUGACGAGACAUGGGCUGUCUUAGGAGUAUUGUUUAUUGAAUUUGAUUUUUGAGUUAAAAUACUUAGAUGUUUUUAUGGGACGAGAAGACCCUAUAGAGUUUAACAAUUUUUCUAUUUAUUUGUUGUUUGUUUAUUUUUAUUAAGUGGGAAGAAGUUUGUUUUGUUGGGGUGAUGGGAGGAAUUUAUUUAACUCCUCUUUAUUUUUGUAUAUUCAUAUAUAUAUUUCUUUUGAUCCAUUUAUUUUGAUUAUAAGAUUAAAUUACCUUAGGGAUAACAGCGUUAUCCUCCUUGAGAGUUCUUAUUGGCGGGAGGGAUUGCGACCUCGAUGUUGGAUUAAGAUGAAUUUUCGGUGUAGGAGCUGAAAGUGAUUAGGUCUGUUCGACCUUUAAAAUCUUACAUGAUCUGAGUUCAGACCGGCGUGAGCCAGGUUGGUUUCUAUCUAUAAAGUUGUUUUAUACCUUAGUACGAGAGGACCGGGUAU